rnacentral:tRNA from 1 species
GGAGACGUAUCGAAGAGGCCAUAACGAGCUCGACUCGAAAUCGAGUUGUCGGUAACACGACACGUGGGUUCGAAUCCCACCGUCUCCGCUA